AGGCGCGCUUCACCGAUCCCUCCCCGCAGGCGACCCGCUCAGCACCAGAGUCGUUCAACGCUGACGAAGACUGAAAACGACUUGUCCAAGGACAGCGUCACGCAUCCGAGCGUUUUUAUGGAACGCAUCCUGAGGGAAAGCAUGGCGACGGAGGACAGAGAAGACGCUUCCAACUGGACUGAGCGUGCACUUCCAGGCUGAAGCGAACACCAGCUCAACGCUCGUCUCAGCUGCGCACUCGUGGAGCGCCUUUGCGUCACAGCAAGCAACGUGGCCUACCCGCAGGACAGAAUAACGCGAGAAGCAGAGGCCACAGAGUGCUUCGAAGAAGGGAGGCAGACGUGUUGCUUGAGUCUGCCUGUUUGCCGAUACUCAGGCGACUACAUGCUUGAAUCGCCGCUGGGGCUGAUGUUGUCGUCGCUACGCUCACCGGUCGAGGCUUUACGAGAGGCAUUUCGCACCGCUUUGCGUAUCUACGGUUAGAUCCUCCGUUUUUCACGAAAGAGCUGUUGCCGAGAGAGGCGAGUACCGGUCGCUCCUGUCAUAAGCGUUCGCCUAUCAAUGCGGAAUCGAAAAUGUCCAGCUCGUGACGGUCUCCUGGGGAGGCACCUUUUUUUCUCUUUGCCCAUCCAUGUCGCUUCACCACGGCUCAUAUCAAGGGUAUGGAAAAUUCGCAUCCAGUGGGUUUUCUGAUACCGUUUCUUUGAGCAUCUGUGGACUGGCGUACACUGAUGGAGAGACAGUCAUGUCGAUAGCACUUGGAAGGCCCUAUUUUGGGAUCAUGAGCGGCAGGAGAACGACCCGCUCAAGCGAGACUGACCCGCCUGUUGAUCACAGAAUGAAUGACUUGUACAUUCAAGACCGUCUCCGCGCAAGCUAGCAGUGCCAGCGGGACGACUAUCCGCGACUUUUUGCAUAUCCAAAGGACGCCACUGUCAGUUGCAUAUCUGCGAGAGAGACGAUCGGAAACAAAUAUGGGCUGCUGGUCCAGGUGUUCCAGGAUUCACUGGUCUGAGUUUAGCGCACCGUCAGCCGCAUUCGUGGACUCCGCGGCCUCGGCCAGCAUAGCUGUUUGAUCGGUGGUGCUCUUGGUCAUAUUUAUAAUUAGAGUCUGAAUAGCAACACCGAAACUUCCUUGUGCUGUCAUGCAUCGUCGAGAUGCUCAGAAAUCUGGCGAGGCAUCACUGUUGACAACGGAACAAACUGCGUGCAAAUUAUCCACACUUUUCAGAACGAAAUGGUGCAACUCCGACUAGCUCAUUCGUGCUUACACCGGUAAGUUUUGGGGUCUUUCGAUUGUUUUCAAUACUUGCCUUUCGGGUCUUUCACUGCGAUUGCUUCAUUUCCAUUUUUUUUCAUAUCCGCCUUUAUGUACGCCGGUCUUUCUUCUUCCUCCAGCUGCGUGGUCAGCCGUCCAUGGGUAUUGAUCGCAACGUUCAAGUCCUGAAUUCGAGGCUUCUUGCUGUUUUCUACGUAUUUCCGCACUGGCGGAAAUUGAGACGUACGCUUCGACUGCUGUUACAUUUUCUUCGUACACGGCAUCGGUGUGCCCUUCGCAGCCGCGACAUGUGACGACCUAGAGGUAUUUCCGUAUGUCCACCACACGUCCGUCACAGAUGGUCACAUGACGGCGCAUGAAGACCCGUCUCAGGGCACGGUUAAUGCCCUUGAUGGGUACAGAAGGCUUGCCUGGACACCCUCGUUCAUUCCCGCGCCCGCUCCCAUAUCCCGGAAUCAUUUGCUUCUUCUAGGCGAUUGCCUGUGCAAGGACUCUAUCCGCUUCACACGCGAGCGCACUGUGUCGCAUUCUGUGUCACUGUGGACAAUGAUAUUGUUUAUCAUAGAAAUAGCACCCGAGCGAAAAUCUUGACUGGUGUUGAAGUUGUGAAAUCUCGCUCCAUCUAAACUCCUUUCGAGCGAAGCGUUGACGCACUCUUCACCUCAAGCGAUUGCUUCGUGCCUUCAAGUUAGAAUCCAAUACCCUUUUCCACGCAAACAAAAUAUAUGUUUUUCUCUGGUGGCAUGCCCCAUCAAGGGAUUAAGCUGCUUUUUAAUUUUGUUUCGUCGAUUGCCACAAAGAAGGGCGGGUUUAUUUUUCGAACGGAUUCGAUUGGUUUGUGACAGCUUCAGUGAGGUUACUGUAUGAAUUUGUGAACGACUCGUCAGGGGGCGAUGUUGAGUACCUUUUGUCGUGAGUCCAGCGGUGCGUAUUGCGACAUCCGAGAGCUGUUUUGAAUACAACCAUCGAAAAUAUGGAGAUUAGGCAAUUCGGGUAUGCUGUAUUGAAGGAAAGGAGAUAGGUGGAGGCUUGUACGUACAAAUUGGAUAAGUAUAUCCGCUACUUUAUGAAUUAUGAUUCGACAUCGUGGCGAAUCAGCUUGAUAACAGUGACGGGAAAAAUCCAGCAGCAAAGAAUCUAAGGAGCCAAUCCGAAAAGUCGACUAUGAAUCCUAUAACAACAUAUGAAUCCGUCAGCAAUUAUUGCCGCACUUCGAAUGCCGAGGCAGCACAUCUCAAUAAAUGUUCCACCGAAACACAAAGACAGGAAAAAGACGACUGGUUCGAUGCAACAGUUGUUCAGAGCAAAUGGAAGCGGGCACGUCAAUACGCUGCCGCUCGUUCAUAUGUCGCAUGUUCCGUAGACCUGUUCAAACCUGCAGUGGUAACUGCAUAGACGGUUUUCUAGAGUUUUACACAAAUAGAACUUUCAAGCAUAUGGAGACACUGAGAAGAUCUGAGCAGAGAUGAUAAAUUUCGCAAGCCAAAUGCACUCAUGGAUGAAACUGUAAAAGCUGCGA
rnacentral:misc_RNA from 1 species